UACUCUUCUUGCAGGUUUUGCUUAUUACUGGUGGAUGUCAAUUUCUGUGUUGACAGUCUGGUUUUUUUGCAGUCAGGUUAUCUUCUUUUCCUUCUACUUUUCAUUUCAUACCUAUUCUUAAUUUCCCUUUUUCAUUGAUGUAAAAAAAUCCCUACUGUUUUUCUUCAUUAGCUCAAUUCACAAACACCAUUGUUUAAACGUAGCUAACCCACAUACUUCAAAUUAUGACCCAUCAAACACUUAUUAAUCUGCAUAACAAGUUUAGCACAAAUUGACCAUAUAUAUAUUGACUUGAAAACCAGAACAUAGAUAUAUAUAUAUGGCUAAACAUAUAGCUGCAUGUAUCUAAACAAUCAAUUUUUAGAACUCUCCCUACAUUCCUGAAUACUUAGUUUAGCCUAGCUUCCAAAAUUGAAUUAUUUCAUCUACUUCCCUUUGGUACAAAACUCAUCUACACAUUUCCAUUCUGUAUAUCUAAUUAAUCCAACUUUGGAUUUGUUAAUUUCACACUGAAGAUGCUCACCACAAAGUUUGCUUCUAUUAUAUUACAUGCACACCACCUAUACUCCAACUCUAAAAUGCCAGAAGCACAAAAUAACGUAGCUUUAAUUUCAUUUGUUUUAUUGAGCAUGAAAUUUGCAAAAGCUAUUCUCUCUUUUCUCCUGCAUUUGCAGCUAUCUGAAAGCUUACAGUUGGUAAAAAACGAAAUUUACUGUCGUCUCACAAAGAAUGAAAGUAUUUCUUGCUUGCUGCAAUUGGUACUGAACUCACGAUGAGCAACCUGUUGUUCUAUGUAUUACCAGAUUAAAGAAUAUUUGGUAAUCAUCAUUGCUGACGGAGCAACACAGGGUCUUCCUUCAAACAAAUUGCAAUCGAUGAACCAGCAACCAACAACAACAUGAAGUACAGAUGAAUGGGAUUGUAUAACGAGCCAUAUAAUUACUAAGCAAACAAAUUGCAAUAUUGUACUUGAUUUAUAGCUUCAUUUUCUUUGACAUAAAUUGUAUUCAAUUUAUGACUUCACUUCGAUUUAACGAUUCACAUUUUUCAAUCAAAAUUCAUUUCACAUUAUUAAUCCAUAAGUUUGAACACCUAUAUGCUCCAAUCAU